GGUUGAGACUGAGGGUUAGAGAGAGGAGAGAGGUUGAGACUGAGGGUUAUAGAGAGGAGAGAGGUUGAGACUGAGGGUUAGAGAGGGGAGAGGUUGAGACUGAGGGUUAGAGAGGAGAGAGGUUGAGACUGAGGGUUAGAGAGAGGAGAGAGGUUGAGACUGAGGGUUAGAGAGAGGAGAGAGGUUGAGACUGAGGGUUAGAGAGAGGAGAGAGGUUGAGACUGAGGGUUAGAGAGGAGAGAGGUUGAGACUGAGGGUUAGAAAGAGGAGAGAGGUUGAGACUGAGGGUUAGAAAGAGGAGAGAGGUUGAGACUGAGGGUUAUAGAGAGGAGAGAGGUUGAGACUGAGGGUUAUAGAGAGGAGAGAGGUUGAGACUGAGGGUUAGAGAGAGGAGAGAGGUUGAGACUGAGGGUUAUAGAGAGGAGAGAGGUUGAGACUGAGGGUUAGAGAGAGGAGAGAGGUUGAGACUGAGGGUUAUAGAGGGGAGAGAGGUUGAGACUGAGGGUUAUAGAGAGGAGAGAGGUUGAGACUGAGGGUUAUAGAGAGGAGAGAGGUUGAGACUGAGGGUUAUAGAGAGGAGAGAGGUUGAGACUGAGGGUUAGAGAGAGGAGAGAGGUUGAGACUGAGGGUUAUAGAGAGGAGAGAGGUUGAGACUGAGGGUUAGAGAGGAGAGAGGUUGAGACUGAGGGUUAGAGAGGAGAGAGGUUGAGACUGAGGGUUAGAAAGAGGAGAGAGGUUGAGACUGAGGGUUAUAGAGAGGAGAGAGGUUGAGACUGAGGGUUAGAGAGAGGAGAGAGGUUGAGACUGAGGGUUAGAGAGAGGAGAGAGGUGGAGACUGAGGGUUAGAGAGAGGAGAGAGGUUGAGACUGAGGGUUAUAGAGGGGAGAGAGGUUGAGACUGAGGGUUAUAGAGAGGAGAGAGGGCAGAUCUCAAGAGAAGAGGCUGGUGGUCGCUGUGGGUCUGUGGGGUAGAGAGAGGAGAGGAGAGGCUGGUGGUCGCUGUGGGUCUGUGGGGUAGAGAGAGGAGAGGAGAGGCUGGUGGUCGCUAUGGGUCUGUGGGAGAGAGAGAGGAGAGGAGAGGCUGGUGGUCAUUAUGGGUCUGUGGGGUAGAGAGAGGAGAGGAGAGGCUGGUGGUCGCUAUGGGUCUGUGGGGUAGAGAGAGGAGAGGAGAGGCUGGUGGUCUAUAUGGGUCUGUGGGUCUGUGGGGUAGAGAGAGGAGAGGAGAGGCUGGUGGUCGCUAUGGGUCUGUGGGGUAGAUAGAGGAGAGGAGGGGCUGAUGGUCGCUAUGGGUCUGUGGGGUAGAGAGAGGAGAGAAGAGGCUGGUGGGUCUAUGGGUCUAUGGGUCUGUGGGUCUAUGGGUCUAUGGGUCUGUGGGUCUAUGGGUCUGUUCACCAGACUAGGUUCAAAAACGAUUUGAAAUAUUACAAAUACUUUUAGCUGUCCUUGAUUGAGUAGCUCAUUGGACCAAUAGGAUAGUCCCAAAAAUACAUACCACACCCACAUGGCACUCCAGGCAGGCUGUAGCAAACACUCAAAGUAUUUGAAAUAUUUCAGUGAGGUAGCUAGCCCACCUUCCAUAGCGUACAUCCCCUCAGGGUCAGGUCUGGUCAGUGAGGUAGCUAGCCCACCUUCCAUACCAUACAUCCCCUCAGGGUCAGGUCUGGUCAGUGAGGUAGCUAGCCCACCUUCCAUACCAUACAUCCCCUCAGGGUCAGGUCUGGUCAGUGAGGUAGCUAGCCCACCUUCCAUACCAUACAUCCCCUCAGGGUCAGGUCUGGUCAGUGAGGUAGCUAGCCCACCUUCCAUAGCGUACAUCCCCUCAGGGUCAGGUCUGGUCUGUGAGGUAGCUAGCCCACCUUCCACACCAUACAUCCCCUCAGGGUCAGGUCUGGUCUGUGAGGUAGCUAGCCCACCUUCCAUACCAUACAUCCCCUCAGGGUCAGGGGUCAGGUCUGGUCUGUGAGGUAGCUAGCCCACCUUCCAUACCAUACAUCCCCUCAGGGUCAGGGGUCAGGUCUGGUCUGUGAGGUAGCUAGCCCACCUUCCAUCCCAUACAUCCCCUCAGGGUCCGGAUAACCAGAGGUGGAUGAGAGGAAGGGAAAGGGGAAAAUAAACUUGCUGACACAACUUUCUAGAUAUAGUAUAUAUAGUGAGCUCUAUAUGUUAUGUGGGUGGACAACAACACUCUGUGAGAGAGAGGGAGGAGUUAUAUGUUCAAAUGCUUCUCCUUUUUCCUGUGAGUUGUUGUAGAUUAUUGGCACUUUCUAAAGUUUAUCUUCAAUGACUAAUGUCAAUAUUGGGGUUUUAUCUACAGAUAGGCCCACGUACAGUGUUUCCCGAUUGAACUCACAGACUGUAGUGAAGACAGAAAGUACCCCAGCUCUUUAAGAAUAAUGUAGGGCCAACAUGGUUCAGAUUGUGUGUCACAGAACCGCAGGAUUUUUAGCAGGAGCACCACAGGUUAAUUGAACAGCUCGUGACAGGAAGAGAGAACACAGUGGGAGGUUGACUGGUUUCCAGGCCUCAUGAAUGGGCUCUUUGAGAACCUAGGCCAGCAGGUGUGGUACACUACAUGAAUGAUAGUCAUGCUCAGGAGGGAACACUAUAGCAAAAUGUUUUUCAAAUUGGCAAGCUUACAUAUCUGUUCUUAUUAGAUAAGUAUUUGGCCCAGGUCUGCAGCUUCUGAUCAAUAUCCUACAUCUUCUGAUCAAUAUACUGCAGCUUCUGAUCAAUAUCCUACAGCUUCUGAUCAAUAUACUGCAGCUUCUGAUCAAUAUCCUACAGCUUCUGAUCAAUAUACUGCAGCUUCUGAUCAAU
ensembl:lncRNA